rnacentral:rRNA from 1 species
GACGAACGCUGGCGGCGUGCUUAACACAUGCAAGUCGAACGGAAAGGCCCUGCUUGCAGGGUACUCGAGUGGCGAACGGGUGAGUAACACGUGGGUGAUCUGCCCUGCACUUCGGGAUAAGCCUGGGAAACUGGGUCUAAUACCGGAUAGGAGCCAUUUUUAGUGUGAUGGUUGGAAAGUUUUUUCGGUGUAGGAUGAGCUCGCGGCCUAUCAGCUUGUUGGUGGGGUAAUGGCCUACCAAGGCGGCGACGGGUAGCCGGCCUGAGAGGGUGGACGGCCACAUUGGGACUGAGAUACGGCCCAGACUCCUACGGGAGGCAGCAGUGGGGAAUAUUGCACAAUGGGCGCAAGCCUGAUGCAGCGACGCCGCGUGGGGGAUGACGGCCUUCGGGUUGUAAACUCCUUUCGCUAGGGACGAAGCUUAUUGUGACGGUACCUAGAUAAGAAGCACCGGCUAACUACGUG